AUACUGGUUUAAAGGACCAGAAGGUGAAAGAUACCAGGUACUGUGGGACCCAACCUGGCUAGGGAGGUGCCUGAUAAAUGAUGCACUGUCUGGGGUCAGGCUUACAACUUCUGCCACAGGAGUCAAAUGCCAGAACUAAAUGGGUUCCUGGGUUUCCAGUUAAAGCAAUGCUGGGGAGAGAGAUGUUUCAUAUUGGGUGCAAAGAACACAACCAUGCCACUUUCCUGGUGUCACACGACCUCCAGAGAUGAUCUGUCUUGCCUACACUCUUCCUUACACAGCAAACAAUUUUCUUUCCCUGCUAUGCUACUUUGACAUCUGUCAGAACGGUGCUUGGAAAUGGAAUAUCUCAAUGGAGUUGGCCAUGCACAUUGACCUUGAAAUGUCCUCAAGGUUCUGGACUGGUUGGGGGUGUGGCCCAAGCUGACUUGCUCUUUCAGAGAUAAGCAUGCUGCUCUUGGUGACAAUGUCUCCUGAGAUGGACCAGAGGCAGAAUUCUACCCAUGUGGGUAGAAACCACUCAUCCAGGGCCAUCUUCCCUUUUGAUGUCCUUAUCAGUCUUACCUUCUCCUCUUAGAUCCUUCUAGAAUAGAUUCCCUGAUCUCUGAAGCGGUUUUGUAUUUCUACCGAAAUAUACAAGUCUGGAUGUUUCCUACCACUGAGGUAAUAUUUUUACAAGUCAUUUUACAAAUGAUAAGUUAUUGGGCUAUGGACUGUAUUCCUCCCCCUUCUCUCAUUAUACUAGAGGGGAAAAAGCUAUUUUAUGACGAGGUGCCUUGUGAUGGAGCCACCUAAUGCACCUGGGAAGGACCCGAGGAGCCAGGAAAAACACGGAAUAAAAUUAAA